GGGCGAGUGGUGAAACAGGCAGACACGACGGACUUAAAAUCCGUUGGCCCAAACGGCCGUGAGGGUUCGAUUCCCUCCUCGCCCA
rnacentral:tRNA from 1 species